CUGAGCAACGCGGAAGGUAGUGCUAGCCCCGAGGAUUGUCUUGGGCGUGCUGCCGGCCUGCUCCGGUUCCGCGGUUGUUAGCGCGUUCGAGCAUCUUUCAUUAGUUUUACUUGCGUUGGCUCGACAUUUCCUCUUCCGGAAGUGCCUGUUCUGGUCGUUGGUCCAGGUUUCUGCUGAAAGGCUUGUCUUCAUGUUGUUUCGUGGCGCUCUGUAUUGGAUAUUAAGUUUUUGUCGGUGGCGUGUGUUGUAAAUACCUCGGUUUGCGUCUCGUCUUUUCACUUUAAUAUAAAAAAAGUGCCAAUAUUUUAUGAACAUGGGCUCAGGACUUCCCUGGUGGCGCAGUGGUUAAGAAUCCACUUGCCAGUGCAGGGGACACGGGUUCGAGCCCUGGUCUGGGAAGAUCCCACAUGCCGUGGAGCAGCUAAGCCCCUGUGCCACAACUACUGAGCCUGUGCUCCAGAGCCCGCAAGCCACAACUACUGAGCCCGCGUGCUGCAGCUACUGAAGCCUGCUCGUCUAGAGCCCGUGCUCCGCAACAAGAGAACCCACUGCAAUGAGAAGCCCCCGCACUGCAACGAAGCGCAACGAGGAGUAAACCCCGCUCACCACAGCUAGAGAAAGCCUUUGCACAGCAGCAAAGACCCAAUGCAGCCAUAAAUAAAAAGAACAUGGGCUCA